UACGUAGGGCGCAAGCGUUGUCCGGAAUUAUUGGGCGUAAAGAGCGUGUAGGCGGCCAUACAGGUCAGCUGUGAAAACUCGAGGCUCAACCUCGAGACGUCGGUUGAAACCGUAUGGCUAGAGUCCGGAAGAGGAGAGUGGAAUUCCCGGUGUAGCGGUGAAAUGCGCAGAUAUCGGGAAGAACACCCGUGGCGAAGGCGGCUCUCUGGGACGGUACUGACGCUGAGACGGCGAAAAGCGUGGGGGAGCGAACAGG
rnacentral:rRNA from 1 species